rnacentral:tRNA from 1 species
GGGGCGGUAGCUCAGCUGGUUAGAGCAGCAGACUCAUAAUCUGUAGGUCGUGGGUUCAAGUCCCACCCGCCCCA